AAUAGGCCGUUCCAAGAUGCUGUCAAAAUUAAAUCAAUAUGGCUACUGGAAGGCAAACAUUGAAUAUUAUUCUAUCAGGUUCUUAUGGUUUUAGAUCAUUUUAGUUGUUGUACAAAGAUUAAUUUAACAUUUUCUCUGGAAGUAUUAAUUUAGAAAGAUAAUAUGCCUCAUUGGUGUUGUGUUUUGAAGUGUGAAAUGCAAAGUAAUCGUGAUAAAGUUAGCUUUUACCACUUACCAUCAGUGCUACAUUCUAAGCACAAAACUGAACCAAUUUAACUAAAUAAGUUAUAGUUAUCAUCUGAGAGACAACAACAAUGGUAAAAUGCAAUAAAAUAUAAAGAUUUUACUAGCAAAAUGGAAAUUCCCCUGUAAUCAUCUUAUAUCUGGUAAGUUACAACAUUUGAACAUUAACGAUUUUUGAAGAUGUUAACAGUCUAAUCUUGUAGGAAAACCAGCCGACUUAACUGAUAAUAACAAUCCAGAUUGGGUUCCUUCAAUAAAUAUGGGGUAUAUAAACACAAUGAAAUGAGUUCCCCAAAAUCUAAAAUGGGAAUUAAGGUACCAAAGGAGAAUUAAAAGAAAAGGGUACCUACAAGAAAAAAUUGCUUUUUUAUUCCUCUUGAAAUGAUUUAUAAGACACUGGACUGUCUUAUAUUCUACAAAUACUAGGUAGGUCUAUGAUUUUACACAUUUUUCAUUAAUGAUACAUUACUGUUACUUUAGUAGAUUUAGAAACAGUGGAUAGUUAGUGGUAGAUAGUAGUUAUUUGGUAUAAAAGUUAGUUUAGUAGAAGACAAGAUUUUGCCAAAUAGUCAAACAUAUAUUACAAUGGAAAAAUUAACAAAUACAUUUUAUGUCAUUAACAUUAACACAGGAUUUUAAAUAUCAGCUUAAGAAAUUAGCUUUAUCUUGUGAAAGUAUAGAAAAUGAUGAUGCCAAAACUAAAAAUUAUACUGGUUUAGCAAAUUACAAUGUUUUUAAAAUAGCUUUAAAGUAUAUUACACCAUUUAUCAAAUACCAUCAAAAUACUGUUUUGUCACCAAGUGAUCAAGUAUUGCUUACUUUAGCUAAACUAAGCUUAAACUUAGAUUAUAAAGAUUUGAGAUAUAGGUUUAGUAUUUCACCCUACCCGGUAUCAACUUAUUUCAAAAAUACUUUGUAUAUAAUGUGUCUUAGGUUAAAAAAAUUUGUGUUCUGGCCUGAUAGAGAUAUUUUAAAGAAAACUAUGCAAAAUUCACUUAAAGAAUCUUUUCAUGGAAAUACUACAGGUAUAAUUGACUUUGGACGAAUGUUUGUAUGAAACGAAUUAUUUAUUGUUCUGAAGCUAGUUAUUUGAGGCAUUUUUGUAAUUAACUAUUCUAAUUGGGAAAUAAGCCACAAUUUAACUUAAAAAAUAAUUUUAUUAAUCUUUCGACUUCCAAAUCAGACGUCAUUGUCAAAAUACAAAAUAUUAUUAUUUAUGCAUAUUAUUACCUGUAAAUAUUUCUUCUGAUUGUUAAUUGUAAAGGAUUGAAAAAUUACCAUUUAUUUUAUUUUUUUUAGAAUCAGCUGAGAGAAGUGGUCUACAAAAACCCAGGAAGGAAACGGAAUAUGUGGCUACGAAAGGCAAAAGAAAGGUUUACAAAGCAAAUGUGACACAUUUUUUUGAAAUAUUUAGGAAUAUCAGUAAAUUGCAUUAAAAAAAUGUAUGAAAAGAUUUUGUUCAAUAAAAAUGUUUAUAUUUA